ACUUCUUCCAGAGUUAAGUAAGUCUAUGUCCUGUCUGCCAGUCUGGUACUGAAGGCAUUUGAAAAAGAGCCAAUAAUUAUUUUCCCCCUCUGGGGAGGGAGGUUGCUGAUGUCUUCCUGAAGAUCUUGCACUGAAAUCCCAGACAAAAGGAGCUGUCACCCUUGGACAAAGCUGGUUCUAAAGCUGGUGACGUAUGACAGAAGUGAACUUGUCACGUAUCCACAGAUUUCGAGGUGCAGCUGACAGCUGAGAUCUGAUGAAUCUAGAAGCUCACUUCCCCCUUCCCAACCCAAAUCACAAUAACUCGGACUGCAAACAAGACAUUGAUAUGUUUGUACAGACAAAAAAAGGUCAUGUUCCAUGGCAGGAAAUUCUGAACAAUGGAAGCAAUUGCGGGAUGCCGCCCUGAAUUUGAGGCUUGAGAAUGAUCCCAAGCAUUGGUCAUUUUACCUGAGUGCCAUCACUCUGACCUCGGUCCUGUGGCUGCAGCUCAAAAUGAGUCAUCUCCUGCCGUUUAAUGAUCACAAAGAAUUAAGGCAGCUGUCUUUUAGGGAGUUUGAGUACAGUAUGAAAAAUGCAGAGAACAGAAGGGCAGCUCUCCUCACCCUCAAACUGCAGUCCUGUGCUUGGACACCAGGCUUUACUCUGUGUCUGCUCACUGGCACAUCAGCUGUUAUUUCAGAAGAGGCUGAUGUCUGUCAGCGCCACAAAGCCUUCUUCCUCAGAAUCUCUGAAAUGAGAUGCAGCCACUUCCCUGGACAGCCUGUUCCAAAGGGUUGUUAGGGAAGCAGUGGAGUCAUCACCCCUUGAGAUAUUUAAAAGGCAUGUAUAUAGAUAUACCAGGUUUAGUGUUGAACCUGCUGGGUGAAGAAUGGGACUUGGUGGCCUUAGAGGUGUUUUCUGACCUAAAUGAUUCCAUAACUGGUGGAUUCUGUGGAUUGGUUUCAUUUCUCAGUAGUGCAGUAUGGUUUGUGACCUGCAGGACUGAACUGCACCUCCCUAUGAGCCCUGAGCAGUGGCUCAAACACACAUGUGGUGGGCUUGAAGUGGCAGUGGGAAUGUGUAAAUCACAAUUCUCAUCAAAAGCCUGCAGCAUCACAGACCUGAAAAAUGCUUUUUGCACCAGUGGUGUAUAGGCUGAUAGAAAGCAGAAAACAAAUGGAAUUGAUGGAUAGUAUGAAGAGUGGGCUGGAACUAUGUGGGGAGUGAAAGUGCUGUGAGAAUUGUGCUUAAAAGAAGCAGCUGAGACUAAGAAAAAAGAUGUUCUCAAUACCUUGGUGUCAUUUUGGAGUCAACGUGUAGGCUGAAGAACGUGAUUUUUCCCCUCUGUAUCCUUUGCAGUGCCCUGAAAACACCCUGAAAGCCCUGAAAGCCAGGAUUUUGACCUGGCCAGGCAGGCUGAGAGCACCCACUGAGCAGCUCUAAAGUUGUUUGGCAAAUUCAAACAAGGAGAACAGUUCCAGUUUGUACAAAAACAGUGGAUUUUGCUUGGGAGACUGAAUUAAAAAAUGUUUUACUGUACCUGAGCCAUCUUGUCAUGUAUAAACCCAGGCUUUAGCUGUCAAGCCCCAAAAUCUCUGAAUCUGUGUUAUCACAUGUUAUUUUCUAUGCACAUUUUGCUGGAGUACAGAAAAAGAUGGCAGGCAUCAAUAGAUUAAUAUAACUCUCCAUUCUACUGCCAAUAUAAACUAAGCAAUAUAGAAAGGACUCCACUAUUUCAGUAUUAACAAGAUCAUAAAAAUUCAUGAGGCAUUCAAAGCUGCUAGUUAAGCUGUGUGAGAAUUUCUGAAUAUGCUCUGUGUAGGACUUGACUGAAAAUAACUCACAAAAACUUAGUUUCAGUGGCUUUUUAAGAUGCUCUAGGUUCUGCAAGAACUAUGAUUUGCCUGUUGGUAUUUGUUAUUGUUAUUUAGCCCUGGAAUUGCAUGGACAGCUCUCACAGAAGUACACAGAUAUUACAAAUUUUGCAUCAAUAACUGGGAGUGAAUGUAGAAAAAGCCAAAGCAGCAGAGACCUGGAAUCCCUCUUCACUAAUUCUAUACAGUUGCAUUCCUAUUUGAAGGACUAGAACUAUUCCAGUGAUGAUUUCUAGAACUUCUCCUUUCUAACUAAAGAAAGCAAAUCGCUAAACUCUUGACAGAUACAUAAAUAAUUUAUAAAUCUUUGAACUGGUCUGGAGAAGUGCUUUAGUUUCUGCAAUUCAAUAUUCAAUAUCAAUAUCAUAUGUGAUCCACAUGUGCAAGGAGAUACAGCUUACUGAAUUACUGCUAUUAGAAACAGAAAAAAAAUAUUUAAUGUUUUACAGUGCAUACAGUUGUAUUUUAUAUGCAUUUGUGUGUGUAUAUGUAUGCAUGUAAUCAUCUAAAUACAAAAAACUCUGCAUGAAAAUACUUGUAUAAUUAUUCCCCUAUGCUGCAUAUGAUUUCCAUUAUUCUGGGAAAGGAUUUAGAAACUGUAAUACAAUUAUUCAAAUGAAAGGAUAUUUCUGUAUAUAUUCCCUGUUUUGAAUAAAAAGAUCUCUGCACACGAAAUUUUGGGUAUG
rnacentral:lncRNA from 1 species